GGGGGGUUGGGACUGGGUGAUCUCUGAGGUCCCUUCCAACCCAAACCACUCUAUGAUUGAAUGACAUUUUUGUUCUGGAGCAACUUUCUGCAGACGUAAUUUUUUGAUCCCGCAUGUGAUGAAUAUUAGGAGCAACAGUGUGGCUGUGAAGCUGACUGUGGAAGAGCCUCUUAAGAGACAUCUCCUCAAGGCAAGCGGGAGGCCGUAUGCUGUACAAUGCAGCUCUGGGCAAGAGGAUGUCUCUGCAAAGAGAUGGGCCUUUGAGCUGAGGGGUGUUGGAAGAGGUGGCUUGGUAUUUCUGGCAGCUACACACUGCUCCUUGCUUCUCUGGUUGCGAUGGCCUUGUGCUGUGCAACAAGCUCUCCUUCAUGCUCUUCACUCGUAAUAACGUGGUUCUUUGCCUUUCUGAAAACUCAGAAAACUUACCGGCACAAACCCGAUGCUCCUUCCCAUCCCAGUUAUUCGCAAUCGGGAGAGGUAUUCCCAAAUUUUAAGAGAAAAUAUUUUUGUGUUUUCUUAGUUUUGCAGGCAUCCAUGAGUGAAGGACCAGAGUACCUCAAUCUGUCCCUUCAACAAUCCUUCCCCGCUCCAUGUUUUCAAUUGGAAACCGCACCAGUGAGCUCCUAAAUCCAGGCGGCGCCUCUGCAGAAGUGGAGCAAAACCAACAUGAUUCAGCAGAUGAAGCUGUAAAAUAUUCCAACCUUUGAAGUCAAGGCAGUUCAGCCCUGACCAUUCAUGUAUCUCAGAAGUACUAGGAGAUAAACGCGGGAAACAUUACACAGCUCGGUAAAUAUGCGUUCAUCAGAGUACCCGUAAUUGCCAUUGUGUUGGGAUUUUUGCUUUUAUAGAACUACAAACUUGUCUUACAACUGCUAGAAACGCUCUCCCGCUAAUUUUGUAUUUUUCAAGUUCUUCAGAGAUUCUCCAUUUUCUCCAAAGACAGAAAAUCUAUUUUCCUUUCAAACAAAGGAAAUCCAGUGUGGAGUCUUUACCUGAGGAAAGAACCUCUCAAAGAAAAUGUAACACGGCUGGUAAAACCAGUUGCUCUGAAACACUCUGUAUCAGCAAACUGAACAGCUGAUAAGAAUAAUAGAAAUUUUUAGUCAAUGAGAAAAUACUCAUCAGGAACCUCAUCCUACCAGCACAAAAUUUGCUAAUAUUGCCUGGCCUUGCGUUGCUGCCAGAAGUAUGAAUUUGUACUGAAAUCCCACUGUAUGGGAGAAGCACCCCAGCCAAAGUGUAAGAAAUUUCACUGCUAUAAACAGGGCACAUAUGGGGUUUAUGGAGACAUCGGGGUCUGGCUAUUGAUUUGUGCUUUCCUCUGGGUAAUACAUGUCCUAUAAUGCCAUGAGAUUUAUGACCAGGACUUUGAACUCUGGAAUAACUUUUAAAAAGAGGGGGCUGUCUAUAAAAAGUGUGGUUCGGGUUUUAAUCUGUUAUAAUCUAGUGCCGCAAGAAGACUUCGAGAGUUCAUUUAUUUGGCCGUGAAUACUUUUCACACUGAGACUAGGAGGCCACACUCAAAUACCUUCAAAAGUUCAUGCCAGGAUCAGUGAAAUUCAGAGUCACGAAUGACCCAGGGAACAAUCAAUCCUUUGAUUAUAGGAAGUUCCUAUUAAAAUAAUGGAGCACAGAAAGUGCCUUGCUAAAAUGAAUGUGAGUCUCCCAAACCUGUACAUUUGCGCAAAGUGUUGGCUGAGAAAUUUCAGCAAUUCCUUUUAAAAAAAAAAAAAAAAAACAAACAAACAACAAAAAACAAAAAGCAGACAACAUUUUGAUAUCAAGCAGAGUUUUGACAACUGAUUUGGAUAAAUUGAAUUUCUCUUUUAUCCAGAUUUCUUGACCUGUUCUUAAUACCAAUUUCCCUUGGUGCUUGCUUUCUUGAUUAUAGUUGAAAGAAAUUUAUAACAAAUCUAUCUUCUGUUUUCGCUUCUACGUACCUAUAAAUUUCUACUACAUUUAUAUAUUUGUAUCUCCAGACUGAAAAGCAAGAUAAACCUGAAGGCAAACUUAUCGUACCAGAAUAAAACUCUUUACUCCUGGGACUGGCCAAAACAACAAUCUAUGAAAAAUGCAAAACAGCAACAGGUCUUGUUUUUAAACUGUUUCGCAAAAUAUUUUUGUGCUGAGAACCUGAUCACUGAAGAUGCUAAAGUGCUGCUGGCUGCCCUGAAUGCCUCCCAGUCUCUGACUGGGACUGUCCCAGUUGGUGCUCAGCUUCUUGCAGAAGUGGACCCCUUAAGAGUUUGCAUACAACUAACUAAACACUAGAGGCAGGGGCUCGCAUAAAGGAAAUGUCCAGAGGCAAGACUGCAGAGCCAUGAGAAGUCAUCGCCUUCCCAGAGCCCCGAUAAAACCCGACGUUGAAGCUGAGGAUGGUUCUUUGGCCUCCGAGGAUGUCUCCGUCUUCAGAGAAGUUUGCAGAACGUAGCAACGAUCACGUGCGAAUCUGGUUUCUCUUUGGCAAUUAGAAUGGAAGAAAGGUUGAAAGGGUGACUCAACAGAAAAAACAUCACCCUCCACUUGCGGCUCAUCAUGCCCAGCUGUAAAGCGGGGAUUAUAUUUACCUCCAUUGCAAAGUACUCGGUUUCAGAAGACGUUGGUGCGGUUUGCUGAGGCCCCGGCUGGAAAAUACCACAAGAAGUUCAAAGCCCGGUUUCAUCCUGUAAUUGGAUCCUCAAGUCCACAAGUGCAAGAACCAACUGUGCGGGCUGACAGCAGGUCCUCCCCUCUUCCAACAAGAACCCCACCACAACACGGGGCUGUGGGGCUGAGCUGCAAGCGUGGCAUACCCAGGAGCUGCUACUUUCUGCUGCUAUGCACAAAAAAAUGUUGUUUAAAGCUUUUGCCACCCUGUUUGAUCUGACCUGCUGUUAUUUUUUCUUUCUUUUUUUUUUUUUUUUAACUCUAAGACAUCUUCUUAACUCUCAUGCUCACUUGGGAUGCUCUUAAGAACAUGGACUUUAAUCCCAGUGUUACUUAAAUACCAAUUUAAUAUUUGUUUUCUCUCUGCCUUGACAAGAUAUUCCUCAGGUCAAGCAGGCAUGAAAUGAUAGAUAUUGAGUGCAAUUCUUCUGGGCAAGAAGAGCUACCUUCUAAGAUCUUAUCUCAAAACCACUUGGAAAUGUGUUCUUUAUUUAUUUAUGCCAUAAAAUCUCAUUCGAUGUUGAAGGCCCAAAGGAUUACAAUUCUGAAUUGGUUGGUUUGCUGUUUUGUUUUCUUUUUUUUUUCCCCCCGUCCUUGCUGAAAUCUGGCCUUUCAAAAUAACACAGAGAGAAUCUUUGUUUUGAUCUAAAAUAGCAGCUGCAAGGGCUUUUAAAUGACCAUUUAAAUGAGAUUUCUUUUUUUGCAUCUUCGCAUUAUAGUUUCAUUCUCGGUCUCUGAGAUCAGUAGCUGCGGUUGAGCAGCCGAGCCGUCUAAUGGGAAUAAAUUGUAAUAUUGUUCCAA